AUUAAGCCACAUGCUCCACCGCUUGUGCGGGUCCCCGUCAAUUCCUUUGAGUUUUAAUCUUGCGACCGUACUCCCCAGGCGGUACACUUAUCGCGUUAGCUGCGGCGCGCAAAGGGACAAUUCCUCGCACACCAAGUGUACACCGUUUAAGGUUAGGACUACCAGGGUAUCUAAUCCUGUUUGCUCCCCUAACUUUAGAGCCUCAGCGUCAGUAUCUGUCCAGAGAGCCGCCUUCGCCACCGGUGUUCCUCUUGAUAUCUACGCAUUUCACCGCUACACCAAGAAUUCCGCUCUCCUCUCCAGUACUCUAGCCCGGUAGUUUUGAAUGCCAUUCCACAGUUGAGUUGUGGGAUUUCACAUUCAACACACCGAGCCGCCUACGCUCCCUUUACGCCCAGUAAAUCCGAACAACGCUCGAGACCUCUGUAUUACCGCGGCUGCUGGCACAGAGUUAGCCGUCUCUUCCUCCUGUGGUACUAUCAUUCCGAGGCACUAUUCGUGCCCCAGCCAUUUAUCCCACAUGACAGGAGUUUACAAUCCGAAGACCUUCAUCCUCCACGCGACGUCGCACCGUCAGGCUUUCGCCCAUUGCGAAUGAUUC
rnacentral:rRNA from 1 species